AGGCCGGGCCCAGAAGAAGCCCCUGUGGCUGCGCCCCCGGCGGAGGGCUAGGCUGUGUGUCCUCUCCCUGCCAUGUAGGGGGCAGCAACACGCAAGGCUAGACGCUUCCUCCACCUCUCAGCCCUCGCCCGACACACACUCCGCCCGACACACACACUCCCGCACACACAGAUCCUUGCAAGAGCGAAGGAUCUCACUUCUGUACCUCCUCAGAAGAAAAAGGAAGAAAACUGCUCCAGUCUUCAGCUGUGUAAGCCUUCAGAGAGAUAAACAGGGCUGCCCCUUCCUCCUCUGUAAAGACGUGGGAAGCCAGGAAUGGCGCGCAUGUGAAUGAAUCCACCUGCUCUGAUGCUGCAGGCAGUGAGGUUCUGAGUGUGAAUCCUGGGAAAUGGCGUCCAGGCAGAGGCCACGUGGGCGAGGGCCACUCUGUCGCUCUGAGGAGCUCGUGAAAGCUACUGUGUGAAUGAUGUGGCUCCCCCUCCACGCGGGAAACUGUGAGGGGCGCCUGACCACGCCGUGACAAACCAGGUGGUGGUGGGAGGCACCGUCCAGGUGUGUUGCCAUGGUGUCAGCCUGUGUCCUGCACACCAAGAAGUCACCAGAGGGCAUUCUGCUCCUUGAGGAGGUGCGCCUGUGGUCGGCACUGUGCUCUGGGCGCUUUAACUUCAUGAUUCAAGGUCACUCAAGUGAGAACUACAACCUUGGGAAAUGGACUGAGAUUGUCCACCUCCUGCCCUGUGGACUUCGCAGCAAUCUGAAAGGAAUGGCGUCGCAGCCUCCACCUUUCCCAUUGGAGUCUCCACAACCCCACCCCACCAACUUCAUCCAACCUGGCCUGGCACAGAGAAGCAUGGCAGGCCCGAACCUGGCUGUUUGUAGCAUCACAGCAAGUCUUCAUUGCUGACUGUCUUAUUCCAACCCUCUAACCAGAAGAGUGACCAAGGAAACCUUCCC
rnacentral:lncRNA from 1 species